CCCAUCGUUAUCACUCUUCGUAGACAUGAUCCGCCACUACGUGUCCAUCCUGCUGGAGAGCGACAAGAAGCUCACCCAGGAACAAGUAUCUGACAGGGGACGAGGCACCCACAGUCCCUCUCCCAUAAGCCUGCCAAGAAGAUUGAUGUGGCCCGUGUAACCUUUGACCUGUACAAGCUGAACCCACAGGACUUCAUUGGCUGCCUGAACAUGAAGGCGACUUUUUAUGAUACGUACUCCCUUUCCUAUGAUCUGCACUGCUGUGGGGCCAAACGCAUCAUGAAGGAAGCUCUCCACUGGGCCCUUUUCAGCAUGCAAGCCACGGGCCACGUGCUGCUUCACCUCCUGUUACCUGCAGCAGCUCCUCGAUGCCACAGAGGACGGGCAUCCCCCCAAGGGCAAGGCCUCAUCCCUCAUCCCGACCUGUCUGAAGAUACUGCAGUGAAAGCCCAAGCCCUAGCUUUCCCCAGUGAAGGACUAGACUAGGGGCCCCACGCUCAACUGGUAGUGGCCACAAGCCUGGCAGCUGUAGAGCCGCUAACCUCCCGACACCUCCCUCACCACACAGGACCCUGAGUGAGGAGGAGGGGCUGGAAACCUGGGAUGGGUUGGCCAAAGGAGAACCUCAGGCUCCUGGCCUGGCCCAGCUCCUUCCUGCCCAAGGUAGCUUAGCCCAUCCAGACUGGUCCUGAAGUCUGUCCCUCCAUUGGCAUGAAGUCUGCCCCUCAGCAGUCCGGCCUCACAGGCUGUACUUUCAUGGUGCUCUCUACCUUCUGGCCCCCAUCCCAGAACAUUCGUGAGUG